CAAACCAAACGGGCGGCGAGGAUGGAUACGUUUCCUGAAAAUAAGCAAAAAGAGGAUAUAAAUCAUUAAAAAUUAUAUAUUAAUUAGAACAACAAACAAAUUUUGGAAGGGUCGAUUAUUAUUUCUAAGAUCUGCGGAAGGAGGAACAUAAGCUGUAACGACUACAUAGUCAUACGUGCGGUGUGAGCAUAUUUGGAGCCAUCUUCUAAUAAGGUAUGUGCGAACUGCAAAAUUCGCACUGUCCGGAUAUUUAUGAAUAGGAUUGAAUAACAGAAGGCGAUUUAAUGAAGUGGGUACCUUACGCAUCAAUGGAAUAGAAGUGCUGUGUGGAGUCUGACCUGCAGUAUUUCACUAAAGAGGAAUUAUAAAUUAUAUUGAAAAUUGUACGAAUCGCUACCCAAUCGGGUAAAUCAUUCUUAGCAAGGCGGGAUUGCUCAUUAUUAAAUAAUAUACAGAAGUUUAAAUUAGCUAAUACAAAUUAUAAAAUGUGCUAUGAAAUGUAACCUAACUUUAAACCUUUUAUUGUAAUGCUACUAUUAAAAAUAUGGUAAAAAGAUAAAGUA